UAAGCUUCUCUGAAAACAAUAAAUAAACAGAACUUCCUGACUCAGUUUAUCAACACUGUCAUAAACACAGGUGAGCCCAAUCGUCAAGGCACUUGGCAUUUCUGCAUUGAACUUUUCACAUUAGGAUAAUCGCAUCAUCACAUAUCCUCAUUAUCACAACUGAAAUUUUUACCUGCGAGACGUGGGUAGUUGGUGUGUGGAAACUUAAUUGUGCCUGCACUUGAGAAAGGAUUCUGCCCCCUCCCUAGUUACCUCAAAUCAGAUGCUUGUGCAGUCCAACUUUGGAGAAAUGCACAGCCACAGCCCCGCUGCCUGAGGCAACCACUCAGCAGCUGUCAGAGGACAUCACAAAUGCUUUCUGUCUGUUAUUUUUACGGCAGUGGCUGAUCUCUAACAGCCUCCUGGUAACAAAUGGAGCCACUGAGAGCUUUCCAACAAUGCAGCCUCCAGUAGGAUGAACUCCUCCAGUCCCUAUACCAGGAAGAUAGAAAAUGAGGAAGACACACAGAAGACAUGCUAAGCCAGCAGUUCCACUGACCCAGAAAAUUAAACUCCAUCCUCAUCAUCUGGCUUCCUACAUCUCAAGAAAAAAGAAAAGCAUGAUUAAGACAAAGGAAUGAGAACAGAAAAAAAAAAAUGAAGCACAUAGAAUAUAAGGCUAAAUAAUCACUAGCAUGGGCUAUGACCAAGACACUAAUAUUUUUCUCUCUCCACCUUGAUUCCUGCUCAAAGGAAUGCUCUUGACAACUGUGUUCACAAAGAGAAUGUUUGUAAACUUUUGUCCCAAAAUAACACCCACAUGCAGUUUUCAGGUUGCUCAUGUUCUAUAAGCCUAAACGAAUUUCCCAUUUGCUUCAGUUUUCUUUUUUCUUCAAGAGAAGUUUUUAUCUUUUCAACCUGAAGUGUUUGCUGUUGUGCCCCAUGGAGGUUCACUGGAAAUCUCUGACAUAAGGCAGAUUGAUUAAUAGGAGAAAAAGCAUACAAAUUUAUUUAAUGUGUGUACCCAGGAACCCUUAGAAUGAAGACCCAACAUCCCAAUGAGGUACAGAAGCUUGUAACCACCUUGAGGUUACAGAAAGAAUGGGGCUUGGAUUCUGGUAGAAGAAAAUAUGAGAUGGGGGAGGAGAGGAAUUCUAUUGAGGAGCAAUAAAUGAUUACUAGGGAGACUGAUUGGAUCAGGGAACAGAGAUUAACUUGUAAAUUGUUCUCUUUGGAAUUUAAAUGACCCUUGGAGAAAGUCAUUAUACAUGUAAAGAACUCUGUUCAGAUAUGGUUAUAUUCUUGGUCUUCUUUUCUGCAGUAAAUAAUGAAAUAAGGAGGGCAAGAAAAAAUAAUUGUUUUCUUUGCUAGGUCUGGAUCUUAGGCAGAUAAAGGAACUCAACCUCUAUGGGAGAGAUAGUUUAGGGGGAGGUCAGAGAGACCUUGAGGCUUCUUUGGUUUAGCAUAUUAAAAUGCUGUAUGUUGGGUAUUGCUGUAUUUUGGGUAUUGGAACAGUGUUGAUCCAUUUGAAAGGUAGCAGAUAAAACAAAUAUGGUUGUGAUAUGUGGGGAAAAUGAAGCUCAGAUUGUCCUUUCAGCUAUUUAAAUAACUACUUCUCUUAUAAAGUGAACCUGCCCUACAAAAUGUAGAGAUUGUCUCUCAUCAGCAGGUCCUUGCCUUAUGAUGGAGGCUGGGCGGGUAUUACUGACACCAGCCUAAUGAUAAGAAGCCAAGGAUGAGAGAGCAAGGAAGUGAAUUGGCCUGUCACUUCCAGUACCAACACCUUCAAUUGCUCUGAACUCUGCAGACAGUCCCGUAGAGGUGAAAAAUGAGUUUCUUCUCCACCCUUUAUGAAUUUUUAGCUGUGACUGUUAGAGUACUUAGAUAGGAAGAUAUGAGCAGGGCAGGAUAGGGCCCCAAAGAAUGUCAGGCAACCAUGAGGUAACUGUCAGGCAAUUGUCCAGUGGUGUCCUCAGGAAUGAUAAGUGGUUGUGGCUGAUGACAGGGAGAAAUGUUUUGAGCCUGUGGGCAAGAAAUUCCCAAUAAGAAUUUUUAAAAAUGAACAUGUAUAGGUAUGUGCAGUAAGGGAAAAAAUGGUGGGGUUUGACUGGUAUAUGACCCUCCUCUAGAAGCACUAGACUGGUAAGGAACAAUUGUCCUAAGAGAACAUGUGUGUAACUUCAACCACCAGAAAGCAUAUGUGACCCUUCCCAGACACUGGCAAGUCACUGUGCAUAUGGUGAUUAGCCAGCAGCCCACUCAAGGGGGAGGAUGAGAGGAGGAGACCAGGGAAAAAACAGGAAAUAGUAAAUCUGUAAGAGCCCUGAGUCAAAGAUCAGGUGGGGCCCCUGAUCUUUCAAGUUGCCCAUUGGUCCUUUCCAAGUGUACUUUGCUUUGUUCAAAAAACUUUCACAUCUGUUUUAAAAUCUACUUUUGUCUCUUAGCUGAAUUCUUUCUUCCAAGAAGAAUCAAGGACCAAGGAUCCCAUUUGAAUUCUCCACUGGUAUCAGGACUCCUGCAACAGAAGACAGAUUAACAGCAGAAAAGCAAACAUAAGUUUAAUAACAGAAGAGAAGAGAUACACAGAAGGAAGAUGGCCACAUGAAGACACAAGGAGGAUGCCAUGUGAUGAUGGAGAUAGAAAUUGGAGUGAUGGAUCUACAAGCCAAGGACCCGAAGGAUUGCCAGCUGUCAUCAGAAACUAGAAGACAGCCCUGGAAUAGAUUCUCUCUCAGAACUCUCCAAAGGAACCAACCUUGCUGACACCUCAGUUUCAGACUUACAGUCUCCAGAGGUGUGAAAGAUUAAAUUUCUGUGGUCUCACACCACCUGGUCUGUGAUACUUUGUUAGAGGAGCCAUAGCAAACUAAUAUAGGAUCUAAUCUUGCAACAAUGACUCCUGGCUGCCAGCAGUCCCAGGUGUUCAGUCCGCACCUUUUUUUCAGAUCGUUUUUUUUCUUUUUUUAUCGUAAUCUUUUUCCAAGGGAUCCAGUUUCUUUUCUUCUAGUCUGUCCCCAUCCAGGCACUCUUAACUAUGAAUAAGAUUCAAGCUCUACCCUAUAAAAACACACAUGUCAUUGAAAAUCAAGGAUUAUUUGAGCAAUAGUGUCCAUAUUCUUAAAUAUUCCAUGACAAAAGCUACAAUGCCAGGAACACACACAUUCCUUCUGUGAAGAUACUAAAGAAUAAAUUAUUCAAUAAUACUCAUUAAAGCCUGGUAAGGUAGAAUUUAUUCAGGACCAUUGUGAUAGGUAUAAGGACCACUUCAAUGAUAUUUUGCAGUGAGAAAGAGAGAUUGAGCUCAACUGCAAAUAAAACAUGGCAAGUGUGAAUUCAUAGCCCACAAAGGUCAGGGUAGGGGUCAGUGAAUAAAAAAUUAAAGGUAAGAAGGAAUUCUGACUAAACUGACUUAUCAGGAUUUUUUCUGAAGACAGGCUAGGGUAACUAAAUAUCAUCUGGGAGAUAGUGGAAGUUGAGGAAGCUGAUCACAUAUCGAGGGUGAUCACACAUCAAAGGAAGGGGGUUAUUCUUGAUAAACUGACUUAGCAGGAUUCUUGCUAAAGCUGGAUUUUAUAAGAAAGUGCACAGAUGGGCCUAGGAAAACAUUCAGGAGACUGACUAAAGUUUGGUCAAGCAGAGAAUCUUAGCCAAAGACACACUUAACCUCACAGAGCUGUUUAACAGAGACACAUCUCUGAUAACAGCCAUAAGACUUACAUGCAUUUUUUUUUUUUUAAACAGGGUCUUCCUCUGGGAGAUCACAGCUCAUUGAAGCCCUGAUUGCACUGGCUCAAGUGAUCCUUCCACCUCGGUUAUAAUAAUAACCAAUCCUCUCAGAAAUGUGAGAAUGGUUCCUGCUUUAGCCUCCCAAGUAGCUGGGACUACAGGUGUGUGCCACCAUGCCUGGCUAAUUUUUUGAUUUUUUUGUAGAGAUGAGGUCUCACUGUGUUGUCCAGGCUGAUCUAGAAUUCCUGGGCUUCAAGCAAUCCUCCUGCCUUGGUCUCCCAAAGUACUGGGAUUAGAGGCAUGAGCCACCACAACUGGCCAGACUUACAUAUAUUUUCAAAAUAUUCAUGCAUAUAAUGUGCAAAAUAUUUUUUAUUUUUGUAUAUUUUCCCUAUAUAUGUUAAAAUAUUUUCUUAUCUUUAUGUUGUCUAUCAUGCCUAGGAAAAAAAAAAUCUCAGAAAUGUGAGAAUUGUUCCUGGUUUAAUCUCUGAGGUUUUAACUAUUUUUUUCUUUACUUCUAAAUUUAGUUUUGAAUCAGCAUUCAGUUUGCUUAAGUACCCCAAACAUUGGGACAGAUAACCUUGUACUUUUUCUCCCAAAGUGAUGUCUAAACUUGAGAGAAUUUUUAAAAUUUAUGAGUGAUUUCUCAAAGAAUUUAUCUCAUUUGAAAUUACGGAGAUCAUGCUGAUCCUAUAAACCAUUAGAUCCCAUGGAGAAAUGUUAGCUAUAGGGCUGCAGUGAUCAGAUUGCUCUAGAUGCAACAAAUCUUUUCUUUACUAGAUCAGUAACCUAACAGGUUUUGUUUCUUUCCUGGCUCUGUUUUAGCCCUGUCUCUUUUUCUACCUCAUAUCAUCCAUUCUCCAGAAGCUAAUAUUACUCAUCAUUUUCAUCACAAGUUCAUGCACUCAGGCAUGGAAACCCAAUAAUAUAUUCUGGUACCUACAUAUAACUUACAUAAUAAAAUGC
rnacentral:lncRNA from 10 species